CUUCGACCGCCGAACGCCGCCCGAACAAGGAGAGGGACCAACUUCGGCGGAAGUCGUAACAGUAAUACAACCCAGUGCAGAAACAUCUAUGACAGUUUGUUUAGAACUAUGAUACAGAGGACAGGUCAUGGAAAAGGCUCUCAGCGACCAUGUCACCAGCCAUAGAGAAUGUGGUGAAUGUUUGUUCAUAUGGAGGUGCUGAUUUGGUCGUCUGUUAUGGGAUAAAAAGUGGGUCCUCCAGAGCUGCCUGUCUUCCACUGCAGACGCAAUAUCCUCCUCCAGUCCGAUACCCCUCCUGAGCUGGUCCACAUUUGUGAUCUCUGAUCCCCCCCUUAGGUUCACACAUUAGGUAAGGCAUAGACUUCACCAGGCAACUACUCAUCACAGAUGGAGGUGAUGAUAUCACUACUGUUGUUCUGCUUACCCAUAGUUUGGCCCAUGUAUAAGACUGAUUCCAUCCUAGAUCUGUACCUUUUUUAUUGAGAUGUUGA